rnacentral:rRNA from 1 species
AACGAACGCUGGCGGCAUGCCUAACACAUGCAAGUCGAACGAGACCUUCGGGUCUAGUGGCGCACGGGUGCGUAACGCGUGGGAACCUGCCCUUAGGUUCGGAAUAACUCCCCGAAAGGGGUGCUAAUACCGGAUAAUGUCUUCGGACCAAAGAUUUAUCGCCUUUGGAUGGGCCCGCGUUGGAUUAGCUAGUUGGUAGGGUAAAAGCCUACCAAGGCGACGAUCCAUAGCUGGUCUGAGAGGAUGAUCAGCCACACUGGGACUGAGACACGGCCCAGACUCCGACGGGAGGCAGCAGUGGGGAAUAUUGGACGAUGGGCGAAAGCCUGAUCCAGCAAUGCCGCGUGAGUGAUGAAGGCCUUAGGGUUGUAAAGCUCUUUUACCCGGGAUGAUAAUGACAGUACCGGGAGAAUAAGCUCCGGCUAACUCCGUG